AUUGAACGCUGGCGGCAGGCCUAACACAUGCAAGUCGAGCGAGCGGCGGACGGGUGUGUAAUGUCUGGGAAACUGCCCGAUGGAGGGGGAUAACUAUUGGAAACGGUAGCUAAUACCGCACAUCAUCUGAUGUGCCCCGGUGGGAUUAGCUCGUAGGUGGGGUAACGGCUCACCCCGGCGACGAUCCCUAGCUGGUCUGAGAGGAUGAGCAGCCACACUGGAACGGAGACACGGUCCAGACUCCUACGGGAGGCAGCAGUGGGGAAUAUUGCACAAUGGGCGCAAGCCUGAUGCAGCCAUGCCGCGUGUGUGAAGAAGGCCUUCGGGUUGUAAAGCACUUUCAGCGGGGAGGCGUUACCCGCAGAAGAAGCACCGGCUAACUCCGUGCCAGCAGCCGCGGUAAUUC
rnacentral:rRNA from 1 species